GGGCGCCGCAGCCAGACAGACGAUGACGACGACGGCUACGACAUGAGGUUGCUCGCCACGGUCCUGUGCAUGUGCGUGGCCGGCGGGAGCACGGCUGCUGCACCCAGCAGCAACA